rnacentral:rRNA from 1 species
UACGUAGGGUGCGAGCGUUGUCCGGAAUUAUUGGGCGUAAAGGGCUCGUAGGCGGUUUGUCGCGUCGGGAGUGAAAACCAGGUGCUUAACACCUGGCUUGCUUUCGAUACGGGCAGACUAGAGGUAUGCAGGGGAGAACGGAAUUCCUGGUGUAGCGGUGAAAUGCGCAGAUAUCAGGAGGAACACCGGUGGCGAAGGCGGUUCUGGGGGCAUUACCUGACGCUGAGGAGCGAAAGUGUGGGGAGCGAACAGG